rnacentral:rRNA from 1 species
GUCCACGCUGUAAACGAUGAAUGCUAGGUGUAGCGGGUAUCGACCCCUGCUGUGCCGCAGUAAACACAAUAAGCAUUCCGCCUGGGGAGUACGGCCGCAAGGUUGAAACUCAAAGGAAUUGACGGGGGCCCGCACAAGCAGCGGAGCAUGUUGUUUAAUUCGAAGCAACGCGAAGAACCUUACCAGGUCUUGACAUCGAUCAAAUCCCGUAGAGAUACGGAGUGUCUUCGGACGUGAGAAGACAGGUGGUGCAUGGUUGUCGU